ACGGCAUAGGAUGAGGAAGGAUUAAAUUAGAAUCUGCUCGACAAAUCGUCGAUGUAACUCAAUACAAUCAGAGGAGUAUCGGCGGCCUGCAGCUUGCCAUGAAUGCGUUUGUAUCAAGGAGGUUAUAGCUAACGUUAUUGUACCGUCGAUGCAGUGAGGGAUGCUGUGUCCACGAAUACUGCGCAUACAACAAAAUAUGCUACCCGAGAAUCCACUGCCAUCUGGGCUGUCCAGACGGCCAUUGUGUGGGCAAGGGUAAAACAUCUCCAGACGCCAAACAAAAACAGCCCAAUUCAGGGAAAUCCAGAGCCACCAGCUCCUCCCCAAAGCCACAGCACGGACUCUCGGGCAAGGGGCCUAUCAUUUCCGAACGUUAUUCUUAUUCCGACGUGGAUAUGAAGGGGAACGACAACAGCAGGAUAGACGAGGAUGGGAUAUUUGUGGACAGAAAAGACCCGACCACGGUUGAUGGGAUCUGCAUGCCUCUUCCGCCGUGCCGAGAGGGCGUUUUCUGUGGGACUGGGCAUAGUUGUACCAUGAACUAUAACCUUGGAUACAGUGUGUGUCAGUAUAAUCUAGAUAUCGGGAGCACUCUCUGUUACGAUCGUCACGGGAAAUUGGCCUUGACCCCCAUGACGUGAGGUCAGGAUGAUAAAAGUAUACAAAACGCAAAGAAAAAAAAAACUUUUGUAAAUGUGUACGUCGAUGAAUAGAUUAUUUUUAUAUCAUAAUAUCAUUUUAUUUUGAUGUUCAGAGAAAUUCAAAAACAUAAAUGAGCAUAAAGUACAAUAAUUUUGUCUAAUAUUGAUUAAAAUGCAGUACACAUUUUUA